GGAACCGACAGCAACGCACUCUACGCGCCUGCGCAGGGUCCCCUCGUCCUGCCCCAGCAGGCACGAAGCCACGCCCCCAAGGACGACCACACGCACGCGCGCUCCGUCACUCGCGGGCACGGACCCUCUCACCCUCACACUGGAGUCGCGAUGCACUGAGGCCCCGCCUCCACGGACGCUAGUACGCUUGCGCACUCUAUUCCGGUGCCUUAACCCGCACUGUAUCAGCCCAACACACGAGGGGAGGAGGCGACGCCCUUUCGGAUAAAGGCGUCCCAGCUUAUUGACAAACCUAGAUACUCCGAGUCCCCCGCCCGCCCCUCGCCGCCUAGUCCCGGGCCCCAGCUGGCCAGGAUCCCGUGGAACUCUGAGACCACAGCGGGGAGACUGCACAUGCGCACACGGAGGCUUCGACGACUCCCAGAAACCACGGCGGCGCGUGGGCGGUGCUGGAUGCGGAGGCGGGCACUUCCGGUCGUGCGGGCCCGGCGGCUCGUGGUCUGACGGGCGGCGUCGUCCGCUUUCCUGGGUGGUGGGUUCCCGACCCCGGCGGGGCGAGGGCGGCGGUGAGGUGUGGGUCGUGCUGGGGCGCGGAGGACUCUCUUCUUCCGCUGGAGAGGGACCCAGCGAAGUGGGCACUAGGCAUGUCACAGGUGAGUUUUUGUUUUAUCUUUGUUUCCUGUAGCAUCGUGUUUCUUCAGUCCUGGAAGCAUCGAGGCUGUCCUCGGGAGACUUGUUUGGGCAGUAGAGACUGACACAGGGACGAGAUCCGGGGCCUCUCGUUCCAGCAAAAGGUGGGACUCUGGGCGCCCCCUCCUCCGUGUCCCUCUCCUCUACUUUCAAUGUUCAUUUCUUAUUCACUGAAUUGUUCUGAAUCUCCACUGUGACCAUUCUUCUAAGCACUUUUUGGGGUCAAAGAUAUGGUUCCUGGAGGAAAAGAUAACAGCCUUAUCUGGAGACUCAUCAUCUUGAAGUAGAGGUGAGUUCUCAAGUUAUCUUUGACCUUCUUCACCCCCUGGGGAUCGAGAGGAAGCAAGAUGGAAAAUGCUGUUGCUUAGUUCAGUCCCAGUAAUGGUACAGCCGGCCUUUGGAAAAUUUGGGGAAGAGGAAUGUGAUUGGUGUCUGGAGCAUGGAAGUCCAGUUUAUCAGGGUCAGCACGUUUACUAGGGCACCAGUACAGGUUGAGGUUGGAUGGCAGGAGUCAGGCUUCAUCUGUGGGAUUCAGGCGAAGACCUUAUCUGCUCUCUGUAAAUGAGGAGCAAGGCAGUGUGCUGCACAGAAGAGGAUUGGAGAGCUGGCUGGGUUUCCUGGAGUAGGGCUCCGGACAGGGUGGUUGCAUGGGCCCUGAAAUUCAAUGCAGGUACAAGCAGAGUUGAGUCUUAGCCCUUUAAAUGUAGAAAACAAGGCAUUUUACUUUGAAAAACAGAUCUUUUUCUUCUCAAAGAGGAAACUCCUAUUUUCUUUCUUUUAGGAAAAGAGGCAGUAUUUUCUCUCCAUGUCCUGUUUGUUAUAAUGACUCAUGUUAUUCAUGAAAUUACUAAAUUACAUUUAAAGAGAAAACCAUAAAAAUAUUUCAACAAUCUUGUAUAUACCCCCAUGCAGAAAAUUUUUUUUUUUACCAUUUUACUUUUGCUUCUUUCUGUAUUUCAUUUUGACAACAUGAAAUAUCUAUGCCUACAGCUUUUUUAACAACUACUCCUUGUCACGUUCGUUCUCUACUUCCCUUACUCUUGAUAUUUUUGUACAUUAUCACUGUAAUUGAGAUACAAUUUACAGAUAUUAAAUAUGCAGUUUGGCUAUUGAUUAUAGCUGUUGAUUACAGAUUAUUGAUUACAGCCCUGUAACCACCACUAAAAUCAAGAUAGAUUUCCAUCACUCCUGAAAGUUCUUUCAUGCCCUUUUCCCUGCCCUCACUCUCAGAGAAAACCACUUUCUUGUUUUUAUGACAAUAUUUUUGCCUUUGUUUCUUUCUUUUAACUUCAUAUAAAUGGAAUCACACAGUAUGUAUGUUUGUGUUUGGCUUCAUUCAUUCAACAUAGGUUUUUUGAGAUUCAUUGAUGAUGUCUAUUAGGUUUUUUUGUUUUUGGGGGGUUUCUGAUGGUGAGGAAGAUUGGCCCUGAGCUAACAUCUAUGCCAGUCUGCCUCUAUUUUGUAUGUAGGACUCUGCCACAGCAUAACUGGAUGAGCAGUGUAGGUCCAUGCCCAGAGCUCACGAACUUAACCACUAUACCACUAGACCAGAUAGAUAGAUUUUUGGUGACAAAGUGUUAUUAAAAAUAAUUUAAUGGCUGCAAAUUUACUAAAAGUCAUUAAAUUAUACCCUAAGAAAUGAAUUUUAUGGUAUGUAAGUUAUUCCUCAAUAAAGCUAUUAAAAAUAAAUAACAUUUGGUAACAUUUGGUAACAGGUGAAAGUGAUAUAUUUCUGUUUCCACGGGAGUACCUUGGUGUUCAUCAAGUUGACACAACAGAAGAAAGCAGUUUAUGUGUUGGAGCUAGACUUUGCUUUAUCACUGUGAAGCAGAGAUCAUUCCAUGUUCAAUACAAUAAAGUUUCAGUGGGUUUUCACCUUACGUACUAUUGGUACAAAGAGAUGGUGCAGACAAGGUGUUAUCUGGAAAGGACAGCUAAGGGCAGUUACAGGUGGUUGAGAUCAUUGUGGAUCAUAGUUGUGUUAGGGCUCAGUGAGGUCCUGGGAUGUUGGAAAGCCAUGAGCUAGGCAUGAGCCAGGCAUGAGCUAGGCAUCUUGAGUCCAUCUCCUGAUUCAUUCUCCACAAGCAGCUGAAGGUGGAACCUAACUCCUUGUUCCUGUUGCAGGCCCUGAAGAAGGCAGAUGAGGUGAAAUUGUAACACAUCUGCAGUUUUCUGAGGCACGUUGUCUCCAACAUUUAUUGCUACACAACAAACUCUCCCGAAAAUGUAGUAGCUAGAGCAAGGACCAUUUUAUUAUUUCCUGUAAUUCUGUGGGUGAGAAAUUCAUACUGGGCAUGUGAUGUCUGCUGGGGCUGGAAUACCCAAGAUGGCCUCUUCAUUCACACCUGUGAUACUGAGCUAGAAUAGCUGGGGUCCUAUGUCUAGGCCUCUAUUUUUGCUGCCAGCUGGGUUCCUCAGCUUUAUUCCUUGUUCUCAGAACCUGUCCCUCUUCAAUUGACCCCUUCUUAUGCCCUUUCCAGUGGGAUGGCUCGACUACUUGCCCUGAGUUUCCAUGAGCAUAAAAUAGAAUAUGCCAAGCCUUCUUUCUGUUUUGACCUAGAGCUGGCACAGCAUCUCUUGCAUCACAUUCUGUUAAUUAAAGCAAGUUGUAGACCCAGUGCAGAUUCAAGGAAAGGGAGACUGCAUUUCAUUUCAGCGAGUGAAUUAUCCUGAUAUGCACUCUAAAGAUCUACUAAAGGGAAUCUGUUUUUGAUUCCCUGAGGUAGAGUAUGUCUUCCCUCUUCAUCUGUGGUAAGGCUCUUUUUAACUAGUAAUCCUGUUUCUCAGCAGCAUGUCCUUUUUCCAUUCUGUCUUGUAUAAGGCUCUGUAUUUUUACAAAACACUAUUCUUUGAUACUGCUGUUUCUUUAUUGUAAAUAAAGUCUGAUCAUUUGAAUGCAUGUAUUCAUUGAUGAUUUAUUCACUAACAAACAUUUAUUCCUUUUUUAAAACUGGUCAAGUGUUGCGGGCCCCCAAGAUCACCCCCAGGUCCAAUAAUUGACUAGGAGUAGUCACAGGACUCGGCAUAUAGUUGUAUUUAUGGCUGCGGAUUUAGG
rnacentral:lncRNA from 1 species